CAACUUUCGACAACGGAUCUCUUGGUUCUCCAUC
rnacentral:rRNA from 1 species